rnacentral:rRNA from 1 species
AAGGAGGACGUGGCCGAAGGCAGGACUGGUAAUUAGGGUGAAGUCGUAACAAGGUAGCCGUAUCGGAAGGUGCGGCUGGAUCACCUCCUUU